AACGCUAGCUACAGGCUUAACACAUGCAAGUCGAGGGGAAACGAUAUUGGAAGCUUGCUUCCGAUAGGCGUCGACCGGCGCACGGGUGAGUAACGCGUAUCCAACCUGCCCACCACUUGGGGAUAACCUUGCGAAAGUAAGACUAAUACCCAAUGACGUCUCUAGAAGACAUCUGAAAGAGAUUAAAGAUUUAUCGGUGAUGGAUGGGGAUGCGUCUGAUUAGCUUGUUGGCGGGGUAACGGCCCACCAAGGCAACGAUCAGUAGGGGUUCUGAGAGGAAGGUCCCCCACAUUGGAACUGAGACACGGUCCAAACUCCUACGGGAGGCAGCAGUGAGGAAUAUUGGUCAAUGGACGAGAGUCUGAACCAGCCAAGUAGCGUGCAGGAAGACGGCCCUAUGGGUUGUAAACUGCUUUUAUAAGGGAAUAAAGUGAGUCUCGUGAGACUUUUUGCAUGUACCUUAUGAAUAAGGACCGGCUAAUUCCGUGCCAGCAGCCGCGGUAAUACGGAAGGUCCGGGCGUUAUCCGGAUUUAUUGGGUUUAAAGGGAGCGUAGGCCGGAGAUUAAGCGUGUUGUGAAAUGUAGAUGCUCAACAUCUGAACUGCAGCGCGAACUGGUUUCCUUGAGUACGCACAAAGUGGGCGGAAUUCGUGGUGUAGCGGUGAAAUGCUUAGAUAUCACGAAGAACUCCGAUUG
rnacentral:rRNA from 1 species